UACGUAGGGUGCGAGCGUUGUCCGGAAUUACUGGGCGUAAAGGGCUCGUAGGCGGUUUGUCACGUCGGGAGUGAAAACUCGGGGCUUAACUCCGAGCCUGCUUCCGAUACGGGCUGACUAGAGGUAUGCAGGGGAGAACGGAAUUCCUGGUGUAGCGGUGAAAUGCGCAGAUAUCGUAAGGAAGACCAGUGGCGAAGGCGGGUCCCUGGACAGUUCCUGACGCUGAGGCACGAAGGCCAGGGGAGCAAACGGG
rnacentral:rRNA from 1 species